GUCUGUGUGGCUUACAGACAAAGGCCAAUAUUGUAGACGACAAUAUUUUUAUAAAAACAUAUUUAAAAGGGCUAAUCGUCAAAUACAGAGCCAUACUAGGCUCACAGCUUUUCACAACCAAAUCUGAGCUGCGUGAAACGCUGGUACAAGUGAAAUAUCUGUUCGGAAAAGAACAAAAUCAAAUUAUCAAUUUGCCUGUCAUUCCACCGAGGAAUGAUGACAGGAAAUUCUAUGACGAGGGAAAUAAAAGAAAUGCCCCUUGUUCACAUGUUAAUACACAUAAUGCUUUUAGUGUGGAGAAAGAAGCACCGCCCAGCAAAGAUGUGGAGAUGGAGCAGCAUGAUGAGGAGCAGCAUGCGGAGCAGCCUGUGGAACUGCUGGCGAUUGGAUCGGAAGUAGAAUAUAAGUCUGGUGAGACCGGUCCAAAUAUUAAUGUGUUGAUUGCUCAACAGGAGUUCAGGGCGUUAGUCGACACAGGAGCGUCGAUUUCCUGUUUAUCUGAGGCGUUCAUUUCAGAACUCAACAUUAAAUACACCAAGAACAGUUCUUAUGAAGCUUCUUCAGUCUCUGGCGCGCAGUUGCAUGUACUGGGCGAAACAUACAUAAAUUUUUUGAUAGAUUCGUGUUUAUUUAGGCAUAAAUUUCUAAUUAUAAAAAAUAUUCGCCAAAAUAUAAUUUUAGGAAGAGAUUUUCUUUCCAAAAAUAAUUGUAUUAUAGAUUUUUCCAAAAAUAAUUUAAUUUUAAAAACGAGGUUUAUUGCAAAAUUUAUUAAAACUGACAUUGUCGGAAAAGAUAGAUUAGUGUCAAAUAUGCUGACAGAUAAGGGUCACCAUAGUGACAAAAAUAAUGACAAAAUGACAUGUGACAUUGAUAACGAAAUAAAGAAAAUUAAUUAUAUUUAUUUUCGAAAUAAAAUAAAAGCAAAAUAUAAUCGGAAUAAAGUUUUGCGAAAGCGACAUAAACGUGUUGUUUCGAAAUCUAGGAAGACUUCCACGUCAUCAAAGUUGUACGAGCAUUGCCGGUGAAGGGAUAAGAAGGUGAGCUACUUCAUCUUCGUGAGAAGAUGAUGUCCACGGCAGAGCUACUUCAUCUUCAAUAUGAAGGAAGAUGAAGAUAACCAAUGUGGUCAAGCCUGUGUUAUUUUUAUAAGUUUUUUUU